CAGCUGGUAAAAAGAAAGAUAUGUCAACAAGCUCUCCUCUCCUGUUUGUUGUGUCUAAAUAAUUGAUUUUGGAAUCAGUCCCCGUUUUUUUCUCAGCCGCUAAAGGGCUUUUCUCUUUUGAUCUGGUAUAGGAGGAAGUAAAAGACUAAGUUCCUGUGAUCUUUCUUUUAGCUUUUCAAAAAGGAGAUGGUCAAAUUCAUUCUUUUUGCCUCAGUCUUUAUACUCAUCCUUCAGCCGUCGAUAGCGACAGCACGAUAUAGACUGGUAUUGGUCAGUCCACUACCCUAUGCCGCUUUCUUGCUUGUCGGCCGUUGGCGACCACCCCUAGGAUCUUGCCCUUAUCAAGAUCUCGGAACGAGAAUUCAAUCCGAGGAACUUAUAGCGCGGGACUUUGUCUCUUUCUUGCCUGG
rnacentral:misc_RNA from 1 species